rnacentral:lncRNA from 1 species
CUCCCUUGGGCGUCCCACAUGCCCCAUCUUUGGAUGUCCCAUCCUUCACACCCAAAAGGGGCCUUGGCAUCCCAUCUUGUGCACUGAUUUCUAGUGCUGGUAGUAGCAUAAUAUAAGGAGAGAAAAAUAAGAGAAAAAGAGAAGAAGAAGAUCAAAUAAAGAGAUCAAGUGUUGAUCAUGAUCCAGGCUUCGUUCAGAUUCAGCAGGCUGAAUUUUCUUAAGAGAAAAAAAAUUUACUUGAAGAGGACUCUUCCAGGCUGAUCCU